GGUGGACAUGGUGGACAUGGAGGAACAUGGAGGAACAUGGUGGACAUGGUGGAACGUGGUGGACAUGGUGGACAUGAAGGAACAUGGUGGACAUGGUGGACGUGAAGGAACGUGGUGGACAUGGUGGACAUGGAGGAACGUGGUGGACAUGGUGGACAUGGAGGAACGUGGUGGAACGUGGUGGACAUGGUGGACAUGGAGGAACGUGGUGGAACGUGGUGGACAUGGUGGACAUGGAGGAACGUGGAGGAACGUGGAGGAACGUGGUGGACAUGGUGGACAUGGAGGAACGUGGUGGAACGUGGUGGA
ensembl:lncRNA